GGUUAUAGCUCAGUGGUAGAGCACAUGUCUCGCAUGCAUGAGGCACUGGGUUCAAUACUCAGCACCA
rnacentral:tRNA from 1 species